AUAUUUGGUUUGAUUGCCAUCGGGCCUGAUCAACACUUAAACAUUAUAGAUACUUUCAUGGCAUUUUCACAAACAUGGCAUUCUUUUUUUCUUAAAGAAGAUGAAAGGUAUUAUUUUGAGCUUUUUAUUGCAUGAAAUGAAUAUGUUAAUUGCAUCUUUUUAUGUUUAAGUAGAUAGGUUAAAACAGUUAGUGUUAUACAUCUGUAUGAAUUUACAAUGAAUAUAUAUAUUAGUUUUUUAUUGUAAGUUUAGAAUUUCAUUGCCAAAAUUUAGGGUUGGUAGCUCAGGUGUUCUUGGUGUUUUGUUUUGUUUGUGGUCCGGGGAGUUAGGCUGUGUCAUACAAGCAUUUCCUGUGAUAAAACAAUCCGGUAACUGUGCAAGAAACGUCCGCAUUUUUCCCGAAAGGACAACAAAACGACGUACAAGUUAACCGCUAGCGAGCUAUCUAGCCGAACCCUAUGGGUGACUGUCUGGCACAAUGACUGAUGAAUGAAUUCACGAUUAACUUUGAGUACUACAAGUUUGAUGACCCUCCCCAAGACGGUAUCGCCACCAGGAGAGGGUUGCUCGGGGGUUUGCAAGUACUUGUUACCAGAAAAAUAGAGGCAGCGAACAGAAGACGCCGGUGAUCCGUUAGGAUUGUAAUCCAUUCUGAAAUCAUACAUUCACUUUCGAUGAUAGAGCUACGGGAGCGCAGUCUAGAGUUAUCUAUCUGGGACCACGAGAAACUCUCGACCAUGAGUCAAGGCAAGCCAGUAGAUUGGAUGGAUGCGCGGGGUGAUGUCAAUAUGACAGGCGAUGCUGGACAGACCCAAUCUUUGGAUAGACGGGGCUCUUAUACUCCGUCCGAACAUGGAUAAACGCAAAUACUAAAUGAGGAAUAAAUUUCCAAUUUGUCAUCGGACAGAGGCUUUUUUGUUUAUUUAUUUCAUUUAAAUGUGGAUUGAUGCAAAUACCAAAUGGGGAGUGAAUACCAAAUUGUUUUACUGGUUAUUCUUAAUCUGAAUAUAGAUAUCGUUGAUGAUUUAGAAUAAUUAUCUUAUUGGUGCUGUAAAAACUACAACCCUGUGAAUACAAAUUGUAAAAACUACAACACUUUCAAUACAAAAAGACACACUUUAUACUAGAGUGAUGUAUCUUGGUUUGUAUAGAAUGUGAUCUUUAGUAAAAUACCUAAUUAGCCAGAUAUUGAUUCAUUUAUAAAUUCUGGAUAUUAUGUUAUGGAAAAACAGGCGAGCAGGUGGGCGUUAGGUGGGCGCAAAUCCAAAACCUUUCUGUAUUCCCGUUGAUUUACACAUUUUGAAUUGGAAUGGGCUUUAAAGGGGCUAGACACCAAAUUAUAGAAUUGCAAGAUAAUUUUGGUCAAAAAACGUACCUAAAAUUGUAAUCGUUUUGUACAAGGCACAUGCAUCUUUCGCUGUUUUUGCGCAUUUUUUUCCAAUUUGAAAUUUACUACUUUUGUCUACCAUGUA